rnacentral:rRNA from 1 species
UACGUAGGGCGCAAGCGUUGUCCGGAAUUAUUGGGCGUAAAGAGCUCGUAGGCGGCCAGUUGCGUCUGCUGUGAAAUCCCGGGGCUCAACCCCGGGCGUGCAGUGGAUACGGGCUGGCUAGAGGCAGGCAGGGGAGAACGGAAUUCCGGUGUAGCGGUGAAAUGCGCAGAUAUCGGGAGGAACACCGGUGGCGAAGGCGGUUCUCUGGGCCUGUACUGACGCUGAGGAGCGAAAGCGUGGGGAGCGAACAGG